AAAUUUUUUAUUCAAUUAUGAUUUUGAAUUGCAAGUUCAAAGGUAACAAAGUAAGUUAAGAAUU
rnacentral:tRNA from 1 species